AUUGAACGCUGGCGGCAUGCUUUACACAUGCAAGUCGAGCGGCAGCGCGGGGGCAACCCUGGCGGCGAGCGGCGAACGGGUGAGUAAUGCAUCGGAACGUAUCCUCGAGUGGGGGAUAACCCAGCGAAAGUUGGGCUAAUACCGCAUGAGCUCUGAGGAGGAAAGCGGGGGACCUGCGAGGGCCUCGCGCUGGAGGAGCGGCCGAUGUCCGAUUAGCUAGUUGGUGGGGUAAAGGCUUACCAAGGCGACGAUCGGUAGCUGGUCUGAGAGGAUGAUCAGCCACACUGGGACUGAGACACGGCCCAGACUCCUACGGGAGGCAGCAGUGGGGAAUUUUGGACAAUGGGGGCAACCCUGAUCCAGCCAUGCCGCGUGAGUGAAGAAGGCCUUCGGGUUGUAAAGCUCUUUCGGACGGAACGAAAUGGGCGGGACUAAUACUCCUGUCUGAUGACGGUACCGUAAGAAGAAGCACCGGCUAACUACG
rnacentral:rRNA from 1 species